UUUUGGAACCGACACGACGCGAGCGAACGUAAAACUGAGCUAAACAUUUCUCGUUGCAGACGGACAGGAAGCUUGCAUCGUCUACCCUAGCCAAUCACGCUGCCUCCUUGAUCUACCCAGCAAAAUUCUUGAACCGAGAACACGCCGUCACCCUCUACAGGGAUGUCAAAGUCGUUUCGCAGCUGAGGGGUGCCUGCAAUGCGUUUCAGAGGCAGGCCCGCGCUGCGCAGCCCACGCAAGAGGACCUUGUCAAUGCAAAUAAGUGGUUGCCAUGGGAUGAGGUGAUUCAUUGUGUGGACAUGCAGACAGAAAGAUUUGACAUGGCACGCUCACAGGUAACGAUUUCAACCAGCAGUCCUGAUGUGUGAAAGCUGUAAUUUGUGGGCAUUGCACUGCAUUGUUGGAAAGGCCUAGGCAUACCGUCUUGGGUCGGCGGUAGCGGAACUCGACUCACA